GAGCACCUGGUCUUCGCCGACGGGUUGGCCGAAAAGCGCGAUA
rnacentral:sRNA from 1 species